UAUAUUUGCAGACAUUUUUACAUAAAAAUUAUUGAAAUAAUAUUGGCAUG
rnacentral:ncRNA from 1 species